UGGGGGAUACGGUAGUUACAUUCAACUCCAAAGAGAGUUUUCAGCCAAUCCCGUAAGCACAGAGUCCCAGCUUCCUCCCAACAGUCUCUAAAAGCACCGAGAGAAGGGUUCGAAGCGCAGCAGUUAACCUCUGCCUGGCGCCUGCGAGUCCCGAGCCCCGGGUCAAUGUGUACGUGGACCUUACUUCUCCUGCUCACACUUGGAGAGGCGGCCACACCCCUGGACCUGCCACCUCGGGGCUGACCCUACCUUGCCCUCUGUCCCCUGCAUUAGCUCUUACUUCCGGUCUGAUCUGCCACAUCUACAUGGAUUCCUCCUGCAUUUAGACGCUCCCUCUGUGGUUGUCAAAAGAUCCCAUCCUUUCACUCGUACCCAAGGCCGUCCUUCCCAUCCAGGCCCCUGCCCCACUCCUCUCGGUUUUCUUUGAUAUUCAUUUGCCUAAAAUCUUCACACAACUGCUACACUGGGCGAUUGGAGCAACCGUGGACAAAUUCAUGACGAGCAAGAUUUGUCAACCACCUCGGGUUACUUUUCUUUACACUGACACAACCAUCGUGGGGCACACCUCUGCAAACAUCAGCACUUCUGGCAGUUAUUUUUCUUGCAGUGUGUUUGUUGAAGACACCAGGUUGUCUGCUACACUCUACAGGGUGCCCCCCCGCUCUGGAUGGAGCUUAUCCCCGGGGCUGUACAACCCAUUCCCGUCCCCUGGACCUCCAAGAUUUAUAAUUCUCUACUGAUGCUUUUUGGCCAGCGGGAACCUCUGUAAAUUGGAUCCUGAGCCUUUGGGGCGCCACCCCACUAGUUUUGACAGCUUCCUUUACAAACGAGGAAACUGGAUCCCAGUGUUAUCCCAAGACUGCACCUCAAGUAUUCAACGCAGUGAAAAGGUGUGAAGGAAACUUUCAUACAGUGCGAGAGCCUGGGCAGCAGAGAACUCAGUGGGCAUCGCUGCAGUGAU